rnacentral:rRNA from 1 species
UACGGAGGGUGCAAGCGUUAUCCGGAUUCACUGGGUUUAAAGGGUGCGUAGGUGGGUUGGUAAGUCAGUGGUGAAAUCCCCGAGCUUAACUUGGGAACUGCCAUUGAUACUAUUAAUCUUGAAUACCGUGGAGGUUAGCGGAAUAUGUCAUGUAGCGGUGAAAUGCUUAGAUAUGACAUAGAACACCAAUUGCGAAGGCAGCUGGCUACACGAAUAUUGACACUGAUACACGAAAGCGUGGGGAUCAAACAGG